CGGGAUGGCGGGUUCGUCGCUUCCGCACGCAUGAGGCGGAAGAGGAAAGUCCGGGCAACACAGAGCGGCGCACUCCCCUCGGGGAGCUAUCGGCAACGGUAGAGUAGCGUGACAGAAAACAACCGCCCAAGCGUCGGGCCUCCGGGCCUCGAUGACGGCAAGGGUGAAAAGGUGGGGCAAGAGCCCACCGGGCGCCACAGCGAUAUGGCGUGCCGCACGUCUUGCGUGUUGCAAGGUCAAGUAUACCGGCAGGGGACUUCGGUCCCGACGGGCUGCUCGCCCGGUGCCGGGGGGUAGACUGCUGAGAUAAAUGACGGACAGGCCGGCACGGCUCCGCGCCGGGCCUCCGGGCCACGGAAGGAAAGCGUGCCGCCUACAUAACCCGGCUUAUACGCCGUCCCGCGUG
rnacentral:RNase_P_RNA from 1 species